UACGUAGGGGGCUAGCGUUGUCCGGAAUCAUUGGGCGUAAAGCGCGCGUAGGCGGCCCGGUAAGUCCGCUGUGAAAGUCAAAGGCUCAACCUUUGAAUGUCAGCGGAUACUGCCGGGCUAGAGUCCGGAAGAGGCGAGUGGAAUUCCUGGUGUAGCGGUGGAAUGCGCAGAUAUCAGGAGGAACACCAACGGCGAAGGCAGCUCGCUGGGACGGUACUGACGCUGAGGCGCGAAAGCGUGGGGGAGCGAACAGG
rnacentral:rRNA from 1 species